rnacentral:rRNA from 1 species
GACGUAGGGCGCGAGCGUUGUCCGGAAUUAUUGGGCGUAAAGGGCUCGUAGGCGGUCUGUUGCGUCAGGAGUGAAAACUCUGGGCUCAACCCAGAGCCUGCAUCCGAAACUGGCGGGCUAGAGUUCUGGAGGGGGUAGCGGAAUUCAUGGUGUAGCAAUGAAAUGCGUAGAGAUCAGGAGGAACACCGGUGGCGAAGGCGGGUCUCUGGGCAGUAACUGACGCUGAGGAGCGAAAGCGUGGGGAGCGAACAGG